rnacentral:ncRNA from 1 species
AGGAGCCGUGCGAGAUGAAAGUCUCAUGCAACGGUUUUGGAAUGAGAGAAAGAAGUGAGGAAUCCUCUUUUCGACUCUGAC